AAAAGGGGGCCGGUCUUGGGCCUGAAACUUCUGGGCUGAAAAGUGCCCCCACUCCGGCCCUGUACAGAACCCUUACCAUCUUACGACCAUGUCUAUUGGAAGGAUACUAAGAAGAGACGUUAUAGCGAUUCUGAAGAUCUAGCCAUAACUGCGAGGCCUGCUAAGCGUUUUACUGGGGUAACGCGUGUGAUACGGGAAAACGACGCGCACAAUGACUUGAUAGGUCUUGGAGACGCAUCUAUCAACAGGGGGAAUACACAUUCAAAGGACUAUCAAACUAAUGUUAAUACUCAAUCAAAGGACAUUAACCGUGUGGAUUUAUGGAGUGAUACUAUACUAAAAAACUGGAUGUCAAACAAUUUCCUCCAGUUGAAUUCUGACAAAACAGAAGUCCUCAUCAUUGGAUCCCAGCACAUAGUGAAA